UUAUUACCCUGUAGUCCUAGUUGGCUCUGACCUGGUCACUCAGCAUGCAAAGCAUCCUUAAAGCAGAGUUGUUGAUUGCAGGCUGUGGAAGGCAGCAAUAGCUUCCCACUCAUUUAGUGCUGACUGGGUUAAGUGCUCCCCACAUUCUCCUGGUGUCUCUAGCACUGACUGGCCAGGUCUGCAAUCUCACUGACAACCUCAAGUCUUCCUGAGAUGUCCCAGAGGACAUUGUCUCGUCGCCAAAACCUAACCAAAGCAAUUCCUGAACUCCCAGCCAACAGAGUGGCACAGCCUACCUUCAGGGCACACAGUCUCCAUGUGGAGAAUCCCGACUCUGGCCUUCUGGAAACCUGUUCUUACAUCUGGCACCCAUCAGUUACCCCAGAAACAUCUUCCCCUUUCAUCCUGGUGGGGGGAGGGUAAAAAUAUUCUAAAGAGAAACA